rnacentral:lncRNA from 1 species
GCGUGUCAGCUGCUCAUCUUCCAUUGCAUGCAAGAUGCAACGGGAUGAGUUAGAUUCUGAUUGGAAGAUGAGUCUUCGGAGGUUAAACUUACAUGAAACCAAAUCGCUACACGUGGCCCUGGCCUGGGGUUGAGAUGCUUUGUAUUGGUGGUAAAGCGUGCCUCCUUUUGCCUAUCAGCGCCGCAGCGGUGCGUUUGCUGUUUACCACCACGUCACUAGAUUACGUUUCCUUCGGGAGACUUCUCGUCGUGAUUCUAAUUGUCGAUUUUGUGAUUUGUUUUUU